UACGUAGGGUGCAAGCGUUGUCCGGAAUUAUUGGGGCGUAAAGAGCUCGUAGGUGGCCUGUCGCGUCGGCUGUGAAAACUCGGGGCUCAACUCCGAGCUUGCAGUCGAUACGGGCAGGCUAGAGUUCGGCAGGGGAGACUGGAAUUCCUGGUGUAGCGGUGAAAUGCGCAGAUAUCAGGAGGAACACCGGUGGCGAAGGCGGGUCUCUGGGCCUUACCUGACGCUGAGGCGCGAAAGCUAGGGGAGCGAACAGG
rnacentral:rRNA from 1 species